ensembl:lncRNA
ACCCGACACAAGCCAGCAUUGAUGAAUGACCGUUCAAACGUGAUGAAUGCAAUUAAAUAUGAUGUAUAUCUUCGCGCAGUCUUUACUGCAGGCUCAGCAAACGAGAGAUUAUGAAUGAACGGAGCUGCUUUACUAUCACUAUCACAGAAAUAUAAUCUGUCUGCUGCACCUGUCAGCGGCCAAAACGGGCGACAUCAGAGACGCCGGACCGACCGAGCCGAAAUUACCUCAAUCCACAGUGCAGCUUUAAAGAUGCGUGAAUAUUCCCGACGCUUUUAAUGAAAGCUCUCGCGGGCGUCUUCUCGUUCCCCUCCGCGCGCGGCCUCCGCUACAUGACGCGCCGCGAGAUAUUCAGCAAUUGUGACGCAAACGGACAGAACACGUUUGGAAAACGUCCCGGUUCAAAAAGACACGUUUGCUCGCGUCUCUUCUGCCAUCCGGGCGCUCGUUCAUUGUCUGGCCGCCGUUGUCCUGGGAGACGCCGCGGCCCGUCGCUGUUUUUGUCGCUAUGGAUAUAUAUGCAAGCUCAUGGAAGGACAGUGCGCAUGCGCGCGCGUCUACAGGCGCGUCCUGCAAUGAUAACAGGCCACAUGAUCGAUACAUCUCACACGCCGCCUGCAGCUGAUGAGAGUCUCUGAGGGCAAAGCAGGACAGCAUCAGCUCAUCUGACCGGGGUUAUCACUGACCAAAUCCCUCGUGCAUUCUAAACCUCACCCCUGCUGAGAAUGCUGGGAACCGUCGAUUCAUGGCAGAGCAUCCAUUGCUGAGCAAGUAAUGCAAUGCUACAUUUUCUCUAAAUCUGAUGAAGAAACAAACUCAUCUACAUCUUGGAUGGCCAAGAAGACAAAAGGGGUGUUUCAGCAGCACCCGCAUGCAUGGAUGAAAUAUUGAAGCCAUAAACCGAUUUGUAAACCAC